GGGAUUAGAUUUGUGCCAAUAGGAUCAAGAAAAACACUUUGGAGAGCAAACAAAUUUUAAGACAUUGAGAGAAAAAACAUUGGUUUCAAAAGAAAAACUUACUAUCUGAAUCAGAUUCUUAAAAUGAUCAAGAAAAACACUUUGACAGUCAAACAAAAAUUAAGAAAUUGACAGAACAAAAAUAUUGACUAAAGGAAAAAAAAAAACAUGUUUCAAAAGUAAAACUUACUAUCUGAAUCAACUUCUUAAAAUGAGUAACAAAGUAUGUUUCCUUUUUCUGUUUGCCUCUAUGUGUUUUUGUUAUCAAUUUCCUUAGUUUUGUUCUCGCUGCUCAGAGCUUUGCUCUCACUACCAGAUUUGCACUUACACUGUCUGGCUUUCUCCUUUGCAAUCCCUGAGUUUUUGGUUGCAAUUCUGACACAACCCUUUCGGGUGGGCGGGACUUCUGAGAAAUCCUCUCCCAUAGGACAGUGGUUUCUCUUGAGUGACAGUUCAGUGACCUGGAAGUGAUGUAGCCUCCCAGACAUUUUUUUUUCCCACCUGGUCAACAACAUGAAUUUUGAGCCCCAAACAGGUUAUUUCUGCUGUCUGUGGUGUCUACUGAGGAUCUAAAGAACCUGUGGAACAUCAGAGACUUUGCAGCUAUUAGAGCUAACCUGUGUACUGCUAACUUGCUACAGAGGAAGCAGCAGAAAGCUGAGCUAACAGGCUGUUUUGCAGAUUGAAAACUACUGCAUUGCAUUACAAUGGAAGUGCUACACAGCCACAUGCAUCAACUGCAGCUGGUGAGCUAAGACACACCAUAGUGUACACAAAGUACACUGCAGACAAGGGAUGUAAGAAAAUAUCAAUAUGACAAUAUAUUGCGAUAUAUUUUCCCAGUAAUAUUGUAUCGAUAUUCUCAAACUGUGUCUCUAAAAUAUCAAUAUGACAAUAUAUCGUGAUAUUUUUUCCUGAGAUAUUACAUCCAUUUU